UACGUAGGUGGCGAGCGUUGUCCGGAUUUACUGGGCGUAAAGGGCGUGCAGGCGGUUUGUUAAGUGCAGAGUGAAAGCUUCCGGCUCAACUGGGAGAGGUCUUUGCAUACUGGCAAACUCGAGGGAGGCAGAGGAAAGUGGAAUUCCCGGUGUAGUGGUGAUAUGCGUAGAUAUCGGGAGGAACACCUGUGGCGAAGGCGGCUUUCUGGGCCUUACCUGACGCUGAGACGCGAAAGCGUGGGGAGCGAACCGG
rnacentral:rRNA from 1 species